CUGGAUGUGAUGCAUAGUAACAACUGACUCACAGUGAAGGUGUUUGUAUUCAUACUGUCUGAUCCAG